rnacentral:rRNA from 1 species
AUUGCCCUAGUAACGGCGAGUGAAGCGGCAACAGCUCAAAUUUGAAAUCUGGCCCUCGCGGUCCGAGUUGUAAUUUGCAGAGGAUGCUUUUGGUGCGGUGCCUUCCGAGUUCCCUGGAACGGGACGCCAGAGAGGGUGAGAGCCCCGUACGGUUGGACACCUACCCUAUAUAUAGCUCCUUCGACGAGUCGAGUAGUUUGGGAAUGCUGCUCUAAAUGGGAGGUAAAUUUCUUCUAAAGCUAAAUACCGGCCAGAGACCGAUAGCGCACAAGUAGAGUGAUCGAAAGAUGAAAAGCACUUUGAAAAGAGGGUUAAAUAGCACGUGAAAUUGUUGAAAGGGAAGCGUUUGCGACCAGACCUUCUCCAGGCGGAUCAUCCGGCUCUCUCGCCGGUGCACUUCGCCUGGUUUAGGCCAGCAUCGGUUUCCUUAGGGGGAUAAAGGCCUGGGGAACGUAGCUCUUUAGGGAGUGUUAUAGCCCCUGGCGUAAUACCCCUCGGGGGACCGAGGACCGCGCUUCGGCAAGGAUGCUGGCGUAAUGGUCGUCAACGACCCGUCUUGAAACACGGACCAAGGAGUCGAACAUUUGUGCGAGUGUUUGGGUGUCAAACCCUCACGCGUAAUGAAAGUGAACGGAGGUGAGAGCCCCUAGGGGUGCAUCAUCGACCGAUCCUGAUGUCUUCGGAUGGAUUUGAGUAAGAGCAUAACUGUUCGGACCCGAAAGAUGGUGAACUAUGCGUGGAUAGGGUGAAGCCAGAGGAAACUCUGGUGGAGGCUCGCAGCGGUUCUGACGUGCAAAUCGAUCGUCAAAUCUGCGCAUGGGGGCGAAAGACUUAUCGAACCAUCUAGUAGCUGGUUACCGCCGAAGUUUCCCUCAGGAUAGCAGUGUUGUCUUCAGUUUUAUGAGGUAAAGCGAAUGAUUAGGGACUCGGGGGCGCUAUAUUGCCUUCAUCCAUUCUCAAACUUUAAAUAUGUAAGAAGCCCUUGUUACUUAGUUGAACGUGGGCAUUCGAAUGUACCAACACUAGUGGGCCAUUUUUGGUAAGCAGAACUGGCGAUGCGGGAUGAACCGAACGCGGGGUUAAGGUGCCAGAGUGGACGCUCAUCAGACACCACAAAAGGUGUUAGUACAUCUUGACAGCAGGACGGUGGCCAUGGAAGUCGGAAUCCGCUAAGGACUGUGUAACAACUCACCUGCCGAAUGUACUAGCCCUGAAAAUGGAUGGCGCUCAAGCGUCUCACCCAUACCUCGCCCUUAGGGUAGAAACGAUGCCCUAAGGAGUAGGCGGCCGUGGAGGU